GAUGAACGCUGGCGGCGUGCCUAAUACAUGCAAGUCGAGCGAACGGACGAGAAGCUUGCUUCUCUGAUGUUAGCGGCGGACGGGUGAGUAACACGUGGAUAACCUACCUAUAAGACUGGGAUAACUUCGGGAAACCGGAGCUAAUACCGGAUAAUAUUUUGAACCGCAUGGUUCAAAAGUGAAAGACGGUCUUGCUGUCACUUAUAGAUGGAUCCGCGCUGCAUUAGCUAGUUGGUAAGGUAACGGCUUACCAAGGCAACGAUGCAUAGCCGACCCAAGAGGGUGAUCGGCCACACUGGAACUGAGACACGGUCCAGACUCCUACGGGAGGCAGCAGUAGGGAAUCUUCCGCAAUGGGCGAAAGCCUGACGGAGCAACGCCGCGUGAGUGAUGAAGGUCUUCGGAUCGUAAAACUCUGUUAUUAGGGAAGAACAUAUGUGUAAGUAACUGUGCACACCUUGACGGUACCUAAUCAGAAAGCCACGGCUAACUACGUGCCAGCAGCCGCGGUAAUACGUAGGUGGCAAGCGUUAUCCGGAAUUAUUGGGCGUAAAGCGCGCGUAGGCGGUUUUUUAAGUCUGAUGUGAAAGCCCACGGCUCAACCGUGGAGGGUCAUUGGAAACUGGAAAACUUGAGUGCAGAAGAGGAAAGUGGAAUUCCAUGUGUAGCGGUGAAAUGCGCAGAGAUAUGGAGGAACACCAGUGGCGAAGGCGACUUUCUGGUCUGUAACUGACGCUGAUGUGCGAAAGCGUGGGGAUCAAACAGGAUUAGAUACCCUGGUAGUCCACGCCGUAAACGAUGAGUGCUAAGUGUUAGGGGGUUUCCGCCCCUUAGUGCUGCAGCUAACGCAUUAAGCACUCCGCCUGGGGAGUACGACCGCAAGGUUGAAACUCAAAGGAAUUGACGGGGACCCGCACAAGCGGUGGAGCAUGUGGUUUAAUUCGAAGCAACGCGAAGAACCUUACCAAAUCUUGACAUCCUUUGACAACUCUAGAGAUAGAGCCUUCCUCUUCGGGGGACAAAGUGACAGGUGGUGCAUGGUUGUCGUCAGCUCGUGUCGUGAGAUGUUGGGUUAAGUCCCGCAACGAGCGCAACCCUUAAGCUUAGUUGCCAUCAUUAAGUUGGGCACUCUAAGUUGACUGCCGGUGACAAACCGGAGGAAGGUGGGGAUGACGUCAAAUCAUCAUGCCCCUUAUGAUUUGGGCUACACACGUGCUACAAUGGACAAUACAAAGGGCAGCGAAACCGCGAGGUCAAGCAAAUCCCAUAAAGUUGUUCUCAGUUCGGAUUGUAGUCUGCAACUCGACUACAUGAAGCUGGAAUCGCUAGUAAUCGUAGAUCAGCAUGCUACGGUGAAUACGUUCCCGGGUCU
rnacentral:rRNA from 1 species